rnacentral:rRNA from 1 species
AGAAUCAACGCUGGCGGCGUGCCUAACACAUGCAAGUCGAACGAGAAAGUGGAGCAAUCCAUGAGUAAAGUGGCACACGGGUGAGUAACACGUGACUAACCUACCCUUGAGUGGGGGAUAACCUAGAGAAAUCUGGGCUAAUACCGCAUAAUACCUUCGGGUCAAAGGAGCAAUUCGCUUAAGGAGGGGUCGCGGCCGAUUAGUUAGUUGGCGGGGUAAUGGCCCACCAAGACUAGUGAUCGGUA